rnacentral:rRNA from 1 species
AUUGAACGCUGGCGGCAGGCCUAACACAUGCAAGUCGAGCGAGCGGCGGACGGGUGAGUAAUGUCUGGGAAACUGCCUGCUGGAGGGGGAUAACUACUGGAAACGGUAGCUAAUACCGCCUACCAUCAGCUGUGCCCAGAUGGGAUUAGCUGUUGGGUGGGGUAACGGCUACCCUCGGCGACGAUCCCUAGCUGGUCUGUGAGGAUGACCAGCCACACUGGAACGGAGACACGGUCCAGACUCCUACGGGAGGCAGCAGUGGGGAAUAUUGCACAAGGGGCGAAAGCCUGAUGCAGCCAUGCCGCGUGUGUGAAGAAGGCCUUCGGGUUGUAAAUCACUUUCAGCGGGGAGGCGUUACCCGCAGAAGAAGCACCGGCUAACUCCGUGCCAGCAGCCGCGGUAAUUC